GACCUAAUAGUGAAAUUGGUAUCGCAUCCACUCCCCAUUCCAUUGCGCAUUGUGUGUAAGUCCCCCGUUCGAGUCGAGGUUAUGUCA